CAGCAGCCACGGUAAUACAGAGGGUGCGAGCGUUAAUCGGAUUUACUGGGCGUAAAGCGUGCGUAGGCGGCUUCUUAAGUCGGAUGUGAAAUCCCUGAGCUUAACUUAGGAAUUGCAUUCGAUACUGGGAAGCUAGAGUAUGGGAGAGGAUGGUAGAAUUCCAGGUGUAGCGGUGAAAUGCGUAGAGAUCUGGAGGAAUACCGAUGGCGAAGGCAGCCAUCUGGCCUAAUACUGACGUUGAGGUACGAAAGCAUGGGGAGCAAACAGGAUUAGAUACCCCUGUAGUCCCUGUCUCUUAUAC
rnacentral:rRNA from 1 species